CUUUCUUUGCUGGCGACCGGCGCACGGGUGAGUAACACGUAUCCAACCUGCCCUUUACUCGGGGAUAGCCUUUCGAAAGAAAGAUUAAUACCCGAUAGCAUAAUGAUUCCGCAUGGUUUCAUUAUUAAAGGAUUCCGGUAAAGGAUGGGGAUGCGUCCCAUUAGGUUGUUGGUGAGGUAACGGCCCACCAAGCCUUCGAUGGAUAGGGGUUCUGAGAGGAAGGUCCCCCACAUUGGAACUGAGACACGGUCCAA
rnacentral:rRNA from 1 species